GACGAACGCUGGCGGCGUGCUUAACACAUGCAAGUCGAACGGAAAGGCCCUGCUUUUGUGGGGUGCUCGAGUGGCGAACGGGUGAGUAACACGUGAGUAACCUGCCCUUGACUUUGGGAUAACUUCAGGAAACUGGGGCUAAUACCGGAUAGGAGCUCCUGCUGCAUGGUGGGGGUUGGAAAGUUUCGGCGGUUGGGGAUGGACUCGCGGCUUAUCAGCUUGUUGGUGGGGUAGUGGCUUACCAAGGCUUUGACGGGUAGCCGGCCUGAGAGGGUGACCGGCCACAUGGGGACUGAGAAACGGCCCAGACCCCUACGGGGGGAAGGAGGGGGGAAUAUUGCACAAGGGGGGGAGGCCGGAUGGAGCACCCCCGGGGGGGGGAUGCGGGCUUUGGGGUGGUAAACCGUUUUGCCCGGUGACGAAGGGUGGGGGAGGGAAAUGGGAAAAGGAGCACCGGCUAACUACGU
rnacentral:rRNA from 1 species